UGUAGAAAGACAGAGAUAGCCGCAAAGUGGGCUUUUUCAAGGCUUCCCAUUAACAUAUAAAUAGAUGUGAGAUGAUCAGAUUAGCUAGUUAUAUGUAAGUGUUGAAAUGUGAAGCAGUAGAAAAAAAUAAAAAUUUGAAAAAAAAAGCCAUUAACCUUGAAAGUGAGCUACCUCCCUCACACUGAGACCAUGAGCCUGAAUUUGGUGCUUCGGGUAUUCAUUAUCCACUGAUUCAAAGUCUCCUUACCACUUUUCGUAUUACUAAUAUAUGACUCAAUAACAAGAGGUCAUAUGGUAUUUUGGCUAAAAAAAAGUCCCUGUGAUAAAAUAGGACACUCAUGUUCUGAUGAAAAAUUUCAUUAGGUGGAUAGCGUUUUUACAUUAAUGCUGUGACUGUAAGGGGGGAAUGAGAUAUAAAAGUAAUUAUUUAUUUAUACUCCACCUUGUUUCAGAGAAGAUUUAGAGUAGAAACUAAGGUAAUUACCUGAUCAUGCAAGCAAAGGCAACAGAAAAGUAAAUAAUCCAGGUUUUAUGAAAAGAAGAUUUCUACAUGCACAUAUACAUAUUUAUGUUCUAAACUUAAAAUUUUAGGUUUCUAUUGCUACACUUACGUUUAAGGAAACAAAAUUGGAAGAGGAGGAACUGCUAAUGAGAUGGUAAAUUAUCUCCUGCUGGGAAUUUGAAGUAGAUCAUCUGUACAUAAUGUUGACAGAAAAGAUGGUAUGUUUGGGUGAGGAACUUUCAGAGAGAAAAGUUUACUCGUUUUUUCUCUCCCUGUCAAGAUUCCUGGUCUCCUCACUUUCUAGACCUACACUCUCCAAUGUAACAGGCACUCCCCACAUGUGACCCCUGACCUCUUGAAAUGUGGCUGGUCCCAGCUGAAAUGUGCUAUAAGUGUGAACUGCAUGCCAAAUUUCUGGGACAUAGUAUAAAAAUGGAAACUAUCUCAUUAAUAGUUUUAUAUUGACUGUUGUAUAUAUUUUAUAUAUUAAGUAAAACAUUUGUAUGGAAAUUCAUUCAGCAGCUUUUUAAGAAAAUGGAAAAUCACAAUUAUGUAUGUGCUUUUUAUUUGUCACUUGCUGUAUAUUUCUGUUGGAUGGGCCUGGGGUACACAUGCAGUUUUAAGAGGAGAACCCCAUGAAGUACUGUGAACAAGUAUUAGAGCUAAAGAGAAUCAGAAUAGCCCUGAUAUAAAAUUUGAUGGAGGGACAUCGAAGAGGAAUUUCUUCACACUGAAGUAAUUUGGAAUGUGGAGGAAGUGAGUGAGCCAUAGCGGGGAGACAGCAGGGUACUUUAGACACAAGGGAACAGAUUUUCAAAGUUUCGAAGAAACAAUGUUGUGGAAGACAAUUCAGAGAGUCCAAGUUUCAUAUUCUAUCUCUAUGAUCACCAAUUUCCAAUGAAACAGAAAAAUAAGACAUCAAAUAGGUAAAAGAAACCAAAAUGGCAAACUUGCCUUUCAAUCACACUAGCUUGCAUUUACCCAUAUAAUUAACCUUUGCCCUGAUUCUAAAGUCAGGACACAUCAUCAUUCUACAGAGAUUCUGAGGCAGUAACCCACCUGCACCCUGAAUGGGUUUAGUUGAGGGAGAAGAUUGAUGGGCCCUUAUUCCCUUUAUAGCACUUGGGAACAGGCAGGAUAUUUAUGUCACAUGGAAAGAGACUCCUAUCCCUGCCACUGUAUUGCAGGCUGCCUCAAGUACCUCCUCUGGUAGGCUAUCUUCAGGGUCCUGAGGUCAGCUGGGGUAAAGUUCAUACCCAUUCCAUGAUGCAAGUAUCUGAGGGGUAAAUACCUAGGAUUUCUGAACCCUAUGAAGAUUAGAGUAAUAAAAAUUAGAUCAUGGAGCAUAUCCUUGAAUGCUCUGCAUUUCACAACGUACUGAUUUUCUUGCUUUAGGAAAAUUUGUACACAUCUUCAAGGCUCUGUUUCCUCUUUCUGUCUUUUCUUACAUAAAAUUUGCUCACAGGAUUUGUGUAAGGAUUCUAGUACAGAGCCUGGCAUACGGUCAAUGUUUAAUAAGUAUUUAUUGCUUGAGUGUGAAAUACCUCUUCCAAAUAUCCUACCUUGCUAUAUUUGCUGUCUGGCUCAUGUAUCCAUCCAAAUGCCAAUGAAUCCCAAAUUUCAAUCCAAAUCCUGGAUUUUUUUCUGAAGUCCAGAUUCUAUAUUCCACUGCCUACUGAAUAUCUGUGUUGAGUAAUCUUAAUACCUUAAGCUUAAAAUAUCAAAUUCUGAACUCCUGAUCUUUCCUCCAAAUUUUCUCAUUCCUAUGCCUUCUCAUUUUAGUUGUUAGCAAAUCCAUCCUUCCUGUUGUAUAGCCCUAAAUCUCGUGAUGAUGAUCUGAUUCCUCUCUUCCAUUAACACCCUAACUAUGAGAGUCCACCGUAUUUUGUGAGUUUCUCUUGAAAUCAUAUCUCGAAUUCGACCACCUCUUCACUUGUACUACUAGCGCCUUUAUCAGAAUUUCUUAUGUACAUGUAUCUGUGUACUUGUAAAGCUUGCUAAUGGGAUUUCUGCUUUAAUUUUUCAUUCUCUAUAGUUAUUCUCAACGAAGUAGCCAAAGUGAUCCAGUGUAAUAUAUAAGAAUAUAAAUCAAACAUUUUAGAUCACAAUGCAAGUUCAUAAAUGUUUUUUCUUCAUUCAACUUUAUAUUUUUAGUGAAGGUUAUCAAAAAUGAGUAAUGAUUGAGGUAGGUGGGAAAUCAAAGUAGAAUAGAAGUACAGGUGAGAAAGUGUAAGAAAAAGGGCAACAUCAUUACCAUUGAAUACCCAAGGAAAUUAAGGA
rnacentral:lncRNA from 1 species